rnacentral:rRNA from 1 species
UCGGGAAUUUUGGGCAAUGGGCGAAAGCCUGACCCAGCAACGCCGCGUGAAGGAUGAAGUAUUUCGGUAUGUAAACUUCGUAAGAAUAGGAAGAAUAAAUGACGGUACUAUUUAUAAGGUCCGGCUAACUACGUGCCAGCAGCCGCGGUAAUACGUAGGGACCAAGCGUUGUUCGGAUUUACUGGGCGUAAAGGGCGCGUAGGCGGCAAUUCAAGUCAUCUGUGAAAUCUCCGGGCUUAACUCGGAACGGUCAGAUGAUACUGCUUUGCUAGAGUGCAGAAGGGGCAAUCGGAAUUCUUGGUGUAGCGGUGAAAUGCGUAGAUAUCAAGAGGAACACCUGAGGUGAAGACGGGUUGCUGGGCUGACACUGACGCUGAGGCGCGAAAGCCAGGGGAGCAAACGGGAUUAGAUACCCGGGUAGUCCCUGAGCGGGCUGGCAAGGCGCAU